GCGUCUCUCCUCUAAUGACACCUCAUCAAUCCGCUCCUAUCAAUGUCCCAGCCAUGGAGGUGACUUCGAGUGCUCAGAAGCCUUAGAAAAUGUCAACGUUUUGGGAGAAAAGUGAUCCCCUUCCCUUGAGAGGAGUUAGCAAGAAACAGGACUAGCGCAUCUCUGAGAACACCUUCUGUUGGCUUUCCUUCCAGGAAGAAAAUGAGCAUAAAGUUAGCACUGAGCUUUUCUGGAACCACGGACAUGGGGUGAGGAAACAGAGACUCAAAGUUCAGCAGCAGGCAACUGCCAGAGCUGGGCAUCAAGCUGAAGUCAUUCCGCUUCCACCAGACCUCCUGGUGCGGCAUGGAAAUCUGACCCUUUUAUUAAGAUGUGUAUUUCCUCAGGGUCCAAAUGUCAUGGCAUUUUGCUCAUGGAGGACGUAUAAAGAAGGAAGUGUGAGUGGUUAAGGAAAUACGGCCCAGCAGACUCCUGAAGCACCUGCGUUGGAGGCUCACAAGCUUAGCAUUGAAUGUGGUCCAUCUUUUGGAUUUCCUUAGGCAUCCCUGUGCAUAGAAAGGUGGUGGAAUUCUGAUCCAUGGCGAUCUAUUUUAUCAUGGGUAGCACAGCCCCAGAAGAAAAGUAUGUCCAUUAAAAAAAAAUGCAGCCCAGCCUGUGUGUAUGCUCCC
rnacentral:lncRNA from 1 species